AAAGAUUACUGCGGGUGGGCAGUCAGUGCAAAACAACUCCCUGACCGAGGAGCCCGCAGGCGACACACCCAGCACUCUGCGAGGCCCACCAAGGCCCUGAUUCCCGAGUCCUGGAGCGAGUUGCAGCGCCCUGGCUGCAGCUGACCACUGACCUAGAGAUGUGCCUUUGCGAAGUGGCAGCGCAUGGAGAAACAGUAGCGGGUCGCUGGGGCCAGAGCCGCCCACCGGGUAGCCAGGAGCAGGCCGGAGCGAGGAGGCUCCCGGGGUGAGACCGGGGCACCCUGAACAUCAUAAAGGACUCAGACCUUGGCAUUCCCGACGUCAUAAAGGACUCACACGGAUGCGGAAACCGAGACGGGCUGGAUGGAAAACUCUUUCCAGACAGACUCCGGGGCCCUCAACUGGUCUCCGACCUUCCCCUGCAACCUGCGACACCUGCCAUUUUCCCAUCUUAGGCUCCAGAAGCAGAAUCAAGUGGGAUGUCUUGGAAGAAAAACAAACAAAAGGCCCACUAGGUGGAGUGAAAUGGAUCAGGAGCAAUUAUGUUCAAUUUCACCUUUAAGUUUUCUCAAAAGGAGGAGCAUUAAGAAUCAGCCACCUUAGUACAUACUUAAAGAUUUACUGAAACCUGAUCCUGUCCCCGCUGAUGAAACAUCAGAGGAAUGGGAUCCUGUAGGUGAAGAUCAUCAGCUUAUAAAAUCCUGUUGCCAUCAAUGGGGGUAGCAGGAAAAUGAUGAAGAUUGGUUAAGGGGCCAGUGGACUCAGCAUUGAAAUGAAUCAUGGACUUGAAGCCAAAAGACUCAGUUUGUGUCCCAGCUCUCUCAAGCAAAGCCCCCAAGUCCCAGUUUCCUCAUCUAUAAAAAAUAAUAAAAAUACUUAAUGGACAAAGUUGUGUGGGAAUCAAAUGAGAUAAAGUAUGCGCUGCAUAUGCCCUAAAGUCUUAUUUAAAUAAAGGCAUUCUUUUCAUCUGAGAAAUUGAAGAAAAAGAUGCCCUGAACAAGAAAGACAGGAGAAAAGAUUUUUUUUUUUUUUAAUGAAGGAUAAAAUGAUGAAAUCCCCCCAGGUAUUGCUACAGAAAGGCCUUACCCAUGAGCUGUAGGCAUAUAUCCGGUCCUAAGGUCCAUUUUGGAGUAGCCCAGCACUCAGUCUGAAAGAUUGGACACUGAGAAAUAUGUGCAUCCCAUUUUUCUAACUAGCAGCAUUUUGAUCCUGUCUUAUUAUCCAUACCCAGGCUAGCACACAUGAUUUUUUCUGCUUGCACUUCAGGAGAAGAUAGUCAUUGGACAAAAGGUGGGUCAUUCUCACGUUGACCAAGUUUCUGUUCCAGUAUCACCCUCCCAGUCCACAGGUCGAGAGGAACCAUACUUGAAGAAACAUACCUGAAGGGUUUCAUCCAUAUGUGGGCCUGAUUUGGAUGAUAAAAUCCUGCAUCUUGAGCCUGAUCUUGAUGCUGCCUGUGUUCUGAUGCCAUCAGGAGUUGAGAGUCUAGGGGUUUUAGAAAGGGUGAAUGUAUUUUCCCAUAGGCAAGGAACAUAAUCAAUGGCCAAAAUGUGCACUGUGACAGAUUAAAGGUUGCUACAAAUUCUCUGAUACCCUUCCAUUAAGAGGUAGGGCAGAUAUUCCCUCCCCUCAAAUCUGGGUGGGCUCCAUGACUUGCUUUGAUCAACAGAAAACGGCAGCAGUGAUGCUGGGCCAGUUGUUGGAUCCAGGCCUUAAGAACCAACAACUUCCACUUAAGUUCUCUUGGAACACUGAGUCCCUGACUACCCUAAUAUCAUGUUGGAAAGGCUACAUGUAGGCACUCUAGUUGCCAGUCCCAGCCAAGACCAGCUUUUCAGCCAUCCCCAUCACUAAAUUUGUAAAUGAAGCCAUCUGGAAUCUCCAGACCAGCUCAUUUGGCAGCUGGGUAUCAUCAAGUUAUCUCUGCUGACUCCACAUGGAACAAAGGAAUCACCCAGCUGAGCCCUAUUCAAACUAUUGACCAAAAAAAUAGUGAGACAUAAUAAAAUGAUGUUUUAAGCCAGUAAGUUUUAGGAUAAUCUGUUACAUAGCAAGAGAUAACCAGGACACUAACUAUACAUGCAUAGAGUAAACAGAGGUAGGCCUACUUUCCACAUUGAAUUGUGCUUUCUAAAGAGGUGAUGAUGAAUUACCUUUUUGUAAAGGUAAUACAUUUCAAAUGUGCUAAGGAUGCUUUCUCUUUUUCUUAUCCAUAAAACAUGCAGACAAUAGUCACUCUCUCCUUAGUUCAUAAGAAUUUUGAGAGGAACAAAGGAGAUAAUAUAUGUCAAAGGCAUCUGCAAAGCAUUUCUCACUAAGCAAAUGUAAGAC
rnacentral:lncRNA from 1 species